rnacentral:sRNA from 1 species
UCUGAAACGGGGCGUGGAUACAGAGAAGCCUCGGUUUCAGA